CCAAGGAGGAGGACAGCCAGACAGAUGACAGAAAAAGACAUGCAUGUCUUUGUCGCUGUGCUCAGCAACUGAAGAGGAAAUCUUCCAUUGGGAGAAAGGGGUUGAGCAGAAUAAGACGGCAGUUCAGAGUGAACUGGGGGAACAGUAGGUUGAUUGCAACGGUUAGCAGUGAUGACAACGGGCGUGAAGCUAAGAGAGGCCAAGGCUUAUCUUGGUGUUAA
rnacentral:lncRNA from 1 species